CUGUGAAAAUCGUCAGAUUUCCGAUUUAUGUGACAGAUCUCACGAUCUGACAAUAUUCACGCUACACCGGUCUAUUUCGUUUCCGUAGAGAUAGCUUAGGUAGCACUAUACAGUUUUGAGCCUUAGUGUCGAAUUGGCAGGGGAGAAAUUUCUAAUAAAUAGGGAUACAAUAAAACUGAGCAGCAAUAAUAGUGUUUUACAAGUUUAAAGUAUCAGAUUUGAGUGGUGGUGGUUUGAAAUGCAUGCUUAGUGAAUUCGAAAAUGUGUCCAGUGCCUAGCCAGUAUGUCUGCUGGGCAGUCAAGGUCAUGAAAUACGUACAUGCUGGUUUCUAGCUCCGAAGGCUAAUUUUGCAUGAAUUUUAAAGGUGCCUCCACUCAACUGAAUUUCUGCAAAAAACCGCGUGGAUGACCCUAGGAUUCUUCGGUGUCGGUCAAAUAUCUGGUGUAGACGUUGUGUUAGCUGUGAGGACGGACAGUGCCCCCACCCCGGCAGCCAGUAGCCGAUUUGUGAAAAACUGUAGUGUGCCCCCUUAAGGUGUAGACGUUGUGUUAGCUGUGAGGACGGACAGUGCCCCCACCCCGGCAGCCAGUAGCCGAUUUGUGAAAAACUGUAGUGUGCCCCCUUAUGUCGUCCGUUUGUAAGCUUAAAUUUGAUUGGCUGACGGGUUCAAUGGCUUAUUCUAAAAAUAAAUGCUUCUCGAGCAGCAUAUUACUGCGCGAGCAGGAAUUUUGCUGCUCGAGCAGCAUUUAAAUGCUCCUCGACCAGUAAAUUGCUGCUCGAGCAGCAACAUGCUGCUCGAGCAGCAUUUUUUUCUGCUCGAGCAGAAGUUAAAGUUUCGAUACAUUUGGUGCGCCAUAGUUUUCAACAAGGGUGUUCCGACCUUGAUGUACCAUGCUGUUGAUGUUUUUUGGUUAAAGUACUGUAAUGCAGUUUAAUUACCUACCGUUUUCAUUACUAUGUUUACACAAUUGUAGAAAUAUAACUCUUUAAUUAGGCACGAGGAAAUGAUAAUUUGUUGCAAAAUCAAUAACCGAAUUACGUUCAAUGUUUAAUUACAUGCCUGACAAAAAGAAUAUAAAAGAGCUUCAG